ensembl:lncRNA
UUUGGAUGGCUCCUUAACUCCCCAGAGCCUGCCUGGGGAAAGUGGUUAAUGGCGAGGGAAAUGAAAGAAAGGAUGUUACUAUACAUGUUUGCCUUGCAAUCUGUGUGUAUUUGGUGCCAUAGACAGAAAGAGAUGCGGUGUUGACCUGUUGUGAGCCCUCAUCCUCUGAGUCUGUAGGUGGCCAGCGCUGAUGGACCCCUGGUUUCCUGCUUCUAGAGAGGUAGUUAAUCGUGUUUACUGUUUCGUGCGGGUCAUUAAAGUGGCUUUUAUCACGGGGAGCAUAAUGCAACCCCACAGCUGAGGCCAGGUUUGCCGAUUUAUAUUUUUUGAGCAGGAAUCCUUGGCUCGCUCCUCUGAGCAGUGAGGGAAAAUCUGUAGAUGGCGGUAAACUUCCUGUUACCGAUCAUUCUGGUUGUGUGGUUCAAACUUUUGCACUGCCUGUGAUGAUUAUGGAUGUGCGGAUCGUGCCAGGCAUCGAUUACCCAGUGAGAUAUUUUUGGUCACCGGUUGAUCUGGGGAUGUCUCUACUGAGUAUUUUUUUUUUUUUUUUAGCGUAGCAUAUAAGUAUUCGUGUCCACUCCGCAAAGAACUGGUGGUUUGGUUUUAUUUCACCAAGUGUGGAAAAUAGCUGCCCUUCGUGGUUGACAGUUUGUUUCUGAUAUCCUGAGCCAGAUGGUGCUCAAUUAUUAUGCAUGGGAAAACGGUAUCAUCAUAAAGUUCUUUAAAGUAAAGUUUUCUUUUUUUCCCCCACACUAGUCAAGAAGUGCCGUCUUCUGAUGGAAUUCGGUGAGAAUAAAACAUAGACUGUAGGCGAUGGUGCCGCAGAUCGCAAACUGGUUCUUCCACCGUAAAGUACAAAGCAGAGAGCACCUUUUGAUCCUGUGUUCAGGGCAGUCCUCACACCCUUGUAAUCAGCCUCCAAUGCUCCCUGGAAUGGCAUCUUUCUCUCUCUUCGCCACUUCUGAGACUGGAAGCUGGGUCUCUGAAAGCGUCUCCUUGUCAUUUCUGGUAAGCACCUGCCAUGGCGUGGCUGUAGCCCAGAAUGAUGUCCGGAGGCAACAGAACGGACUAUUCUUUGCCGUACCUGGUCCACGGACUGACUGCUAUGUCAAUCUUUUGAGUAAUAUCAUAAACAGCAGUUCGACUUUCCAGAAAAUGCUCUCCAUUCACACCGUCAAAGAUGGAGCAUGAAAGAUGGGACGGUGUUCAGGGAGAGCUGUGUUCACACCGAGUGGGGUGAGUUCGUGUCUCAGACUGACCAGAACUCGACUACCUCUGUAAGAUGGAAACAGUCGCUUGGGGCCGGGCCAGGGUUCCACCUUCGAACGCUUUACAAGAAUAGCUGGGCUCUGAUGUAAUUCAGGAGCUCGGCAGAUCUAUUUUUGCUGCCUGAAAUCUUGGACAGAUUUCUUCUUUCCCAUGAAUCUGCCUGAUUUUGGUUUCUAUUAGACUUCCAUCAGUUCUUGUAGUAGAAAAAGUCUGGCAAUCUUCGUAACACUCAUCCAUCCUCUCCUAGAACAUUUGGAUCACAAAAUGAUCUCGGCAUCCUCCAAGUACAUAGUGAUGUUUUGCUGUGUGUAAUUGUCUUUGUAUCAAGUGAUUUAAUAUAGCUGUUCAAAAAGAAAGCAGUUAAGUUUUGUCUUGACUUAGUAUCUCCCUAAUUGACAUUAUUCACAAACUGAUUUCCCUUAAUUUCUUUUUUUUUUUAAGAUUUUAUUUAUUUAUUCGACAGAGACAGCCAGCGAGAGAGGGAACACAAGCAGGGGGAGUGAGAGAGGAAGAAGCAGGCUCCUAGCGGAGGAGCCUGACGUGGGGCUCGAUCCCAUAACACCGGGAUCACGCCCUGAGCCGAAGGCAAGACGCUUAACCGCUGUGCCACCCAGGCGCCCUGCCCUUAAUUUCUACUUAGGAUCAGUCCAUCAAUCUGUAUGGGUUGAUCUUGAAGUUUAAGUAGUUCUCGAAAUAUUUUUACUGUGUUGUCAAAAUAAAUUCUGAAUUGAAACUUCA